rnacentral:rRNA from 1 species
CAAGUCGAACGAGCGAGAGGAGGUUUACUUUCUCAAGCGAGUGGCGAACGGGUGAGUAACGCGUGAGGAACCUGCCUCAAAGAGGGGGACAACAGUUGGAAACGACUGCUAAUACCGCAUAAGCCCACGACCUGGCAUCGGGUAGAGGGAAAAGGAGCAAUCCGCUUUGAGAUGGCCUCGCGUCCGAUUAGCUAGUUGGUGAGGUAAUGGCCCACCAAGGCGACGAUCGGUAGCCGGACUGAGAGGUUGAACGGCCACAUUGGGACUGAGACACGGCCCAGACUCCUACGGGAGGCAGCAGUGGGGAAUAUUGCACAAUGGGGGAAACCCUGAUGCAGCGACGCCGCGUGGAGGAAGAAGGUCUUCGGAUUGUAAACUCCUGUUGUUGAGGAAGAUAAUGACGGUACUCAACAAGGAAGUGACGGCUAACUACGUGCCAGCAGCCGCGGUAAAACGUAGGUCACAAGCGUUGUCCGGAAUUACUGGGUGUAAAGGGAGCGCAGGCGGGAAGACAAGUUGGAAGUGAAAUCCAUGGGCUCAACCCAUGAACUGCUUUCAAAACUGUUUUUCUUGAGUAGUGCAGAGGUAGGCGGAAUUCCCGGUGUAGCGGUGGAAUGCGUAGAUAUCGGGAGGAACACCAGUGGCGAAGGCGGCCUACUGGGCACCAACU